UCUCUCUGCUACAACUAUUUUAUUUUAGAGGAAACAGCUAUUCAGCUUCUUCUCUCUGUCUUGUUACCUACAGGUCCUCAGGUGUUCAUCUGAGAGAAACAUGUACUUAUCCAUGUGCAAUAUUAUCUUCUAUGCUCUUUAAGUACUCUUUGGUGACAAAAGGUAAAACACAACUUUGGGAAGUGACAAUGUUAUUCAAAGGGUAACUAAUUUAUAUAGGCAGUCAUGUGAUCACUGUAAUGAAAAAUAGAGAAAUAAUAUAUUUUCUCCAAUGUAAAAAUAAUUACAAUUAUUAGCUAAGGGAUAAAUUAUGGCAAAAAAAAUGAGACAACUUUCUUUCCUUCAGGUCUACCUGAGUUUUGUGGCUGAUUGACAACUUCUGUAUCACCUAUCUUGUGCCUGACUGCGUCCAGUUCAUGGAAAGGGACCUUUGGAGAUCAUCUGGUCUAACUUCCCACAUGAAGUGGAACUACUGCUGGUGCUGGAUCAGAAUUAGAAGACCUUGUUAAUAUUCCAGACCUGGUUUAUGGAACUGCUGGCAGUAGCUACAGAUCUAUUUGAAUCAAAAUGAAAGCUGAUGGAAGAAAUCAAAAAUGCAGUGCAGCAGCUCAGUGUUGAUGCAUACCAAGGAUGGCAAAGACAUCAUCAAGGAGUGGGCAGAAGUAAAUGUUGGUGCGCAGGAAUACAUAAAUAGCCUACACCGAUGUGCAGAGCAGAGAAAGACUACUUAGGAUGGAUGGGGCUAUCAAGACACAAUCUAGGAAACACAGUGUUGGAGCUGAGGUAAUUCUAAAGUAGGAUUCCUCCUGCAAGCAUCCAAAUGAUAGGCAUAAGCACAAGUGGAUGAUUUUCUGAAGGUAAGGUUGCUAGGAUAAAUUACAUCUUAAAAACCUUGUAAUGAAAUAAACUACCAUUUUUCAUAUUGUCCCUAUGAAACAAGAAACAUUUCAGAUCAAAUCAGCAGAUGUAACUGAAAGCACGGAUGCCAAUUUCAAUCUUAACUAUUGUUCAGUUAGCUCAUAAAAGCAAUUUCUUGUAGGAUAAACCAGGUUAUGAAUGUGUCUGUUAGCUCAUGGGUGUUCAACCUUUUGGCUUGCCUGAUCUGCAUUGAAUGAAGAGGAACUGUAUUAGGCUGCAUAAGUUGCUCUGAAAGUAAUGCC